UGCGUAGGUGGUUGAAUAAGUUAGGUGUGAAAUCCCCGGGCUUAACCUGGGAAUUGCGCCUGAUACUGUUUAGCUAGAGUACUGUAGAGGGGAGUGGAAUUUCCGGUGUAGCGGCGAAAUGCGUAGAUAUCGGAAGGAACACCAGUGGCGAAGGCGACUUUCUGGACAGAUACUGACACUGAGGCACGAAAGCAUGGGGAGCAAACA
rnacentral:rRNA from 1 species